rnacentral:rRNA from 1 species
UACGGAGGGGGCUAGCGUUGUUCGGAAUUACUGGGCGUAAAGCGCACGUAGGCGGCUUUGUAAGUUAGAGGUGAAAGCCCGGGGCUCAACUCCGGAAUUGCCUUUAAGACUGCAUCGCUAGAAUUGUGGAGAGGUAAGUGGAAUUCCGAGUGUAGAGGUGAAAUUCGUAGAUAUUCGCAAGAACCCCAGUGGCGAAGGCGGCUUACUGGGCCGGUUCUGACGCUGAGGCGCGAAAGCGUGGGGAGCAAACAGG